rnacentral:rRNA from 1 species
UUUGAGAAGUAAAAGUCGUAACAAGGUUUCCGUAGGUGAACCUGCGGAAGGAUCAUUACCGAGCUCAUGCCCUAACGGGUAGACCUCCCACCCGUGUGUAUGUAUACCGUGUUGCUUUGGCGAGCCGCGCAGCUUCGGCCGUGCCUGGGGCUUUCGAGCCGCGGUGCGCUCGCCAGAGACCAACCCAACUCUGAUUAUUUCUGUCGUCUGAGUACUAUAUCAAUAGUUAAAACUUUCAACAACGGAUCUCUUGGUUCUGGCAUCGAUGAAGAACGCAGCGAAAUGCGAUAAGUAAUGUGAAUUGCAGAAUUCAGUGAAUCAUCGAAUCUUUGAACGCACAUUGCGCCCCUUGGUAUUCCGGGGGGCAUGCCUAGUCGAGCGUCAUUUCACCCCUCAAGCUCUGCUUGGUGUUGGACCCGUGCCAGCGAUGGCAGGUUCUAAAAUCAGUGGCGGUGCCGUUGGGUCCUGAGCGUAGUAAUACUCCUCGCUACUGGAUUCCCGCGUGCGUCUUGCCAUAACCCCCAUUUUUUUUAGAUUGACCUCGGAUUAGGUAGGGAUACCCGCUGAACUUAAGCAUUCUA